rnacentral:sRNA from 1 species
CUGGCUGCAAAAUCGCCUGUUUUCCCCUUUCCAGUGGACGCUGGUGAAAUGCCCUCUGGUCUGCUCCAGCCCGCGAUGAGGAAAAGUCCAGGUCUGUCUG